rnacentral:rRNA from 1 species
GACGAACGCUGGCGGCGUGCUUAACACAUGCAAGUCGACAUGAGUGGCGACCUGGUUAGUAAUACGUGUGUAACCUGCCCUCCUUUUUGGGAUAAGCCUUUGAAACGAGGUCUAAUACCGAUUAACGGGGGAUUGGCUCGCGGCCUAUCAGCUUGUUGGUGGGGUGAUGGCCUACCACUGCGGUUCCGGGUAGCCGGCCUGAGCGGGUGACCUGCCACAUUGGGACUGGGAUACGGCCUAGACGCGUAAGGGAGGCAGCAGUGGGGGAGAUUGCACAAUGGGCGAAAGCCUGAUGCAGCGAUGACGCGUGAGGGAUGAAGGCUUUGGGGUUGUAAGCCUCUUUAGCUAUCGAACGGGUAGGUGGAGAAGAAGCGCCGGCUAACUACGUGCCAGCAGCCGCGGUAAUAC